rnacentral:rRNA from 1 species
UACGUAGGGGGCAAGCGUUGUCCGGAAUCAUUGGGCGUAAAGCGCGUGUAGGCGGCUCGGUAAGUCCGCUCUGAAAGUCCAGGGCUCAACCCUGGGAUGCGGGUGGAUACUGCCGGGCUCGAGUCCGGAAGAGGCGAGUGGAAUUCCCGGUGUAGCGGUGAAAUGCGUAGAUAUCGAGAGGAACACCUGCGGCGAAGGCGGGUUGCUGGGCUGACACUGACGCUGAUGCGCGAAAGCCAGGGGAGCGAACGGG